CGUAUUCAUACAGGAGAGAAACCAUAUCGGUGUGAUAUUUGUGGUAAAUCAUUCUCCGUACGUUGUAGCUUAACAUCACAUAAACGUAUUCAUUCAGGAGAGAAACCAUAUAAAUGUGAUAUUCGUAGCAGAUCAUUUUCUCAACAUCAUGAUUUAAGAGUACACAAACGUAUUCACACAGGAGAGAAACCAUAUCACUCUAAUUUGUGGUAAAUCGUUCUCUCAGCAUCAUGACUUAAGCGAUUGUAUAUGUAUCCAGAUAAAAGUGUAACUGUAUCAGUGUGGAACUUCUUAACAACCAAAAAACAUUUAAGUACCCACCUGAAGUGAGGUGGGCUUAGCUUUGUGAACUUUACCCAUGACAACAACCAAGCCACCCAUCAUUGGCUCUCUUUCUGAGGUUGUCUUUUACAGCUCUUUGAACUUUUAAUGAUGCCAACCUUUUUUUAUUUUCUGCUUACCACAUGAAGGAAUAUGGUUUAGUGUCAAAUUUCUUUCUUCCUAUGAAAAUUUAAAAACAAACACCGUCUUCUAUAAUUAAAUGUAUGUACAUUGGAAAAGAAAUAUAACAGUGUGUGAUAAGAGCCUUCCCACACUCUAUGUUUUAUAUUAACUCAACUAAACACUGUUGAGAUAACUUACCUCUGUAAUAGUUUUAAUAAAAGCAAUUUCCU